GGUUUUUAUUUUGUACUUUAAACCUUAAAUUUAUUUUUUAUAUUUUUUUAAUGUUCAUGUUUUUGAAUGUUUUAUUCAAAUAAUAGUAAAAAAUAAAAUAGAUAUUAGACAUGGAUUAGAACAAAAGAUAUAUAUUAUUUUAUGUUGCAUAAACAAAUUGGCAAAAUAGAGAUGGA
rnacentral:misc_RNA from 1 species